AGAGCAUACGGUGGAUGCCUAGGCACUAGGCGCCGAAGAAGGACGUGAUAAGCUGCGAUAAGCUACGGGUAGGUGCAAAUAACCUGCGAUCCGUAGAUCUCCGAAUGAGGAAACUCAGCAUAAGUAAUUUUAUGUUACUCAUACCUGAAUAAAAUAGGGUAUAGAGAGGGAACCCAGGGAAUUGAAACAUCUUAGUACCUGGAGGAAAAGAAAGAAAAAUCGAUUCCCCGAGUAGUGGUGAGCGAAAAGGGAAGAGCCCAAACCUUGCAUAGUGAUAUGUAAAGGGGUAGAGGACACUCGUAAUCAAGAUGCAUUAUAGUAGAACACAACUGGAAAGUUGGGCCAAAGAGAGUAAUAGCCUCGUAAACGAAAUGAUGCUGAAGUGGAGUGUAUCCAGAGUACCGCAGGACACGAGAAAUCCGGUGGGAAUACGGGAGGACCAUCUCCUAAGGCUAAAUACGACCUAGUGACCGAUAGCGAAUGAGUACCGCGAGGGAACGGUGAAAAGAACCCCGGGAGGGGAGUGAAAUAGAACCUGAAACCAUAUGCUUACAAACAGACACAGCACUACUGAAUAGUGUGGUGUCGUACUUUUUGUAGAACGGGCCAGCGAGUUACGUUGUGUAGCAAGGUUAAGGCAUUAAGUGCCGGAGCCGAAGCGAAAGCGAGUCUGAAUAGGGCGCCAUAGUUGCAUGACGUAGACCCGAAACCGAGUGACCUAACCAUGUCCAGGUUGAAACAGCGGUAAGACGCUGCGGAGGACCGAACCCACGUCUGUUGAAAAAUACGGGGAUGAGGUGUGGUUAGCGGGGAAAUUCCAAACGAACUCGGAGAUAGCUGGUUCUCCUCGAAAUAGCUUUAGGGCUAGCCUCUUGAUAGAAUACCGCAGGUAGAGCACUGAAUGACCUAGGGGGGUUCACACCUUACCAAAGUUUAUCAAACUCCGAAUGGCGGAUAUUUAAUUCAAGGGAGUCAGACAGUGGGAGACAAGUUUCAUUGUCAAAAGGGAAACAGCCCAGAUCUACAACUAAGGUCCCCAAGUUACAGUUAAGUGGCAAAGGAGGUUUUACCGCUAAAACAGCCAGGAUGUUGGCUUAGAAGCAGCCAUUCAUUUAAAGAGUGCGUAAUAGCUCACUGGUCGAGUAGUGGAGCGCCGAAGAUGUCCGGGGCUAAAACUGUACACCGAAGUUUAGGGAUACAAUUUUUGUAUCGGUAGAGGAGUAAUGUAUACGGGCUGAAGCAUCAGCGGAAGCGGGUGUGGACUGUAUACAAGAGAGAAUGCUGGCAUGAGUAGCGAGAACGGAGUGAGAAACUUCGUCGUCAAUAGUCUGAGGGUUCCUGGUGAAGGUUCGUCCAACCAGGGUUAGUCGGGAGCUAAGGAGAGGCCGAAGGGCGUACCCGAUGCACAACAGGUAUAUAUUCCUGUACCACCUGACCACGUUUAAACGAUGCAAUGACACAGAAGGAUAGUCUAGGCGCAGUGAUGGAUAGCUGCGCGCAAAUCACAAGGCUGGAUGAUAGUGAAGUACGUCAUCUAUUAAGGCUGAGUGCUGACGCGGAAUGAAAAAUAGUAAUGAAGUAGAUGAAUUCACGCUGGCGAGAAAAGUUGCUAAGUAUGUGGAAUGGUGCCCGUACCGCAAACCGACACAGGUAGACGGCAAGAAAAUUGCAAGACGAGCGGGAUAAUUGUUGUUAAGGAACUCUGCAAAAUCGCCCCGUAACUUAGGGAGAAGGGGUGCCGACCUCACGGUCGGCCGCAGUGAAAAGGCCCGAGCGACUGUUUAUCAAAAACACAGGUUUCUGCUAAAACGUAAGUUGAAGUAUAGGAGCUGACGCCUGCCCAGUGCUGGAAGGUUAACGGGAAGUGUUAGCGCAAGCGAAGCACCGAACUUAAGCCCCAGUGAACGGCGGCCGUAACUAUAACGGUCCUAAGGUAGCGAAAUUCCUUGUCAGGUAAGUUCUGACCUGCACGAAUGGCGUAACGACUUGGGCGCUGUCUCAACAACAAACCCGGCGAAAUUGUAGUAUACGUGAAGAUGCGUAUUACCCGCGACAGGACGGUAAGACCCCGUAGAGCUUUACUGUAGCUUGAUAUUGGAAUUCGGCAACUUAUGUACAGGAUAGGUGGGAGACUUGGAAGUGUAGGCGUCAGCUGGCAUGGAGUCAACGUUGGGAUACCACCCUUGAGUUGUUGGAUUUCUAACGCUUUGCCAUGAAUCUGGGAAGCGGACAGUGUCUGGUGGGCAGUUUGACUGGGGCGGUGGCCUGCCCACGCG
rnacentral:rRNA from 1 species